rnacentral:rRNA from 1 species
UCUGUUGUUAGGGAAGAACAAGUGCCGUUCAAAUAGGGCGGCACCUUGACGGUACCUAACCAGAAAGCCACGGCUAACUACGUGCCAGCAGCCGCGGUAAUACGUAGGUGGCAAGCGUUGUCCGGAAUUAUUGGGCGUAAAGGGCUCGCAGGCGGUUUCUUAAGUCUGAUGUGAAAGCCCCCGGCUCAACCGGGGAGGGUCAUUGGAAACUGGGGAACUUGAGUGCAGAAGAGGAGAGUGGAAUUCCACGUGUAGCGGUGAAAUGCGUAGAGAUGUGGAGGAACACCAGUGGCGAAGGCGACUCUCUGGUCUGUAACUGACGCUGAGGAGCGAAAGCGUGGGGAGCGAACAGGAUUAGAUACCCUGGUAGUCCACGCCGUAAACGAUGAGUGCUAAGUGUUAGGG